UGGUUCAUACAAAUGAUUUCCAUUAGCGCAUGCAGUGAAAUUUCCAUCAAACUACCCUUUUUUGAACCAAGUGUUUGUUCAUGAUAUACAUCCCAAGAAGCACGGCAGCAGCACUUCUGACUUUGAAUACAUGACAUCAUGGACCAAUUCCAUCUAUUCAACAUAAGAAGGAACCAAGAGCACAUCCAACAGAAUACCCAACUGCACCAAAAUCAAACAGGCUGAUUGCGACCAAAGGUGAUGACCAAAAUUGUCCAAGACAAAGCAGCAC
rnacentral:lncRNA from 1 species